rnacentral:rRNA from 1 species
ACUGCUCAGUAACACGCGGAUAACCUGCCCUUGGGUCUGGGAUAACCCCGGGAAACUGGGACUAAUACCGGAUAGAUCAAAGAAACUGGAAUGUUCUUUGGUCCAAAACUCUGGUGCCCAAGGAUGGGUCUGCGGCCUAUCAGGUAGUAGUGGGUGUAACGUACCUACUAGCCUACGACGGGUAAGGGUUGUGAGAGCAAAGUCCCUGAGAUGGAUUCUGAGACAUGAAUCCAGGCCCUACGGGGUGCAGCAGGCGCGAAAACUUUACACUGCGGGAAACCGCGAUAAGGGGACCCCGAGUGCCAGCACCUAGUGCUGGCUGUCCAGCUGUCCAAAUAACAGUUGUUAGCAAGGGCCGGGCAAGACCGGUGCCAGCCGCCGCGGUAACACCGGCGGCCCGAGUGGUAGCCGUUAUUAUUGGGUUUAAAGGGUCCGUAGCCGGCCUAUUAAGUCUCUUGGGAAAUCUGGCGACUUAAUCGUCAGGCGUCCAAGAGAUACUGGUAGGCUUGGGACCGGGAGAGGUGGGAGGUACUCCAGGGGUAGGGGUGAAAUCUCGUAAUCCUUGGGGGACCACCGAUGGCGAAGGCAUCCCACCAGAACGGGUCCGACGGUGAGGGACGAAAGCUGGGGGCACGAACCGGAUUAGAUACCCGGGUAGUCCCAGCUGUAAACGAUGCUCGCUAGGUGUCAGGUGCGGUGCGACCGCAUCUGGUGCCGCAGUGAAAACUUGAAGCAAGUCACCUGGGAAGUA